AUACGGAGGGUGCGAGCGUUAAUCGGAAUUACUGGGCGUAAAGCGUGCGCAGGCGGUUGUGUAAGUCAGAUGUGAAAUCCCCGGGCUCAACCUGGGAACUGCAUUUGAGACUGCACGGCUAGAGUGUGACAGAGGGGGGUAGAAUUCCACGUGUAGCAGUGAAAUGCGUAGAGAUGUGGAGGAACACCGAUGGCGAAGGCAGCCCCCUGGGUUAACACUGACGCUCAUGCACGAAAGCGUGGGUAGC
rnacentral:rRNA from 1 species